CAGUCGCCGCGGGAAUACGGAGGGUGCAAGCGUUAAUCGGAAUUACUGGGCGUAAAGCGCACGCAGGCGGUCUGUUAAGUCAGAUGUGAAAUCCCCGGGCUCAACCCGGGAACUGCAUUUGAAACUGGCAGGCUUGAGUCUUGUAGAGGGGGGUAGAAUUCCAGGUGUAGCGGUGAAAUGCGUAGAGAUCUGGAGGAAUACCGGUGGCGAAGGCGGCCCCCUGGACAAAGACUGACGCUCAGGUGCGAAAGCGUGGGGAGCAAACAGGAUUAGAUACCCGGGUAGUCCCUGUCUCUUAUAC
rnacentral:rRNA from 1 species